UACAUCUGCUGUUCCUACUACAACUACUGAGGCUGGCACAACCAUCACAAAACCAACUGGAAAACCUGCCACUGUUCCUGUGACUGGGCCUGCAACUACAACAACAUUUGUGGCCCCCACAACUACAGUUUCAAGCACAGCAUCAACAUUAACCAUGGAGACUACCAGGACAACCACUACCUUAACACCAACUACUACAACAACAACAACAACGCCAAUAACAACCAAAACAACUGCACAUCCUGUCGUGUUUACAUUAAAACUCACAAUUGAAGUUGUAUAUGUACCAGCAUUGACCAACACUGAAAGCACAGAAUUUCAAACACUUGCACUAACCAUUACUUCAGAGUGUGAUGAGAUCUACCAAGCAAAAUAUGGGAUCAUUUUCAUCCAGACGAUCGUCAUUGCAUUCUUACCUGUGUCCCGACGUUCCCUUAUGCCAGCAGAAAUACAGGUGGAAAUGGAAGUGGUAUUCCAACAGAUCUCCGCAGAAUCUAGGAUGAGUAAUGACAUUGAAAAUACACUGAAAGAGGCUGUGACCAAUCCAAACUCCAACUUCAAUGUCUCUGUGUAUCCGGACUCCAUCA